CACCAGUGAAAGAGGGGAAGUUGCUACUGUGAUGAAUUCUGCCAUGUGGUACCAGACUGCUGCCCAGACCACAGUGUCCUCUGCAACCCUGGUCAAAGGUGCCUACAUGUUCCUUCUAGCUUUGUUUCCCUGAUGUUCCUUGCCACCUGCUACUCCUCUCUGAGCUACUUUUCCAGCCUCCCAGGAAUGCUGUUCUCUAUGGCCGUGAGGGGAAUCAAGAAGAGAGCCUGACUCCUCUCCUGAGGUCCCUUCCACACCCUGAGCCAGCAGGAUCCACGGAGCAGAGGUCAUCUGCCCGCAACUUGGCCCACUGAGGCCAGCAUGGCUGGGCCCAGGAUGCUUGUCUCUCAGCUCCCAUCCUGUGUGCUUCCACAUUGGUUUAACCAGAGCAAAACUGACAUCUACAAUUGUCAUGAACAUAUUUAAAUGUGCAUAGAAUCAGCCAUACAAAUUAUGAACAUA
rnacentral:lncRNA from 1 species